ACACAUUCUAGAGCCUAAUUCACUUUAAUUAACAAUUAAAAUUACACUCAAAUCCAAAUUCUGAACUUUAAUGCUAAAGCUCUUCCUAAAAUAAAUUUAUUGUAAUCCAUCACCACUUAAAUAAGCUGCACCUUGAUCUGAUUUUCAAUACAAUUAUAUAUCAAAAUUAUAUAUUUCCAAAAAUAAUUAACAACGACGAUAUACAAGCAAAAUUUAAGUUUUAUUAAUCGUGGAUUAUCGAUUACAGGACAGAUUCCCCUGAUUGGAAUAAAAAACCGCCAAAUUUUUUGAUUUUAAAGAACAUAACUUAUAUUUAUCAGGUCUUAACCCUCUACACCUAGAAUAAUGGGGUAUCUAAUCCCAGUUUAUCCCCUAGGUUUCUCAACCUCAUAAUCAAAAAUUCAAUUAAAUGAAAAAUAAGAUUUCACCCAAUAUUUUCACCAAAAUAAAAAUCAAUUUUUAUUAAUUAAGUAAAUAACCGAAAAAAAAUAGUAGUGCUAUUUGUCUAACCGCA
rnacentral:rRNA from 1 species